ACCUUUUUAGUUUAAGUGGAACACAGUGCUGAAGACACUGAGGUUGUAAGGUAUA
rnacentral:tRNA from 1 species